GCGCGUUAGGUGUGCAACAGGUGAGCCUCUACCUGAAUUCUUCAGCCUUGGGUCCUCACCUUUGUUCCCGGUGUUUGUUGGGGGACAUCACUCGUGUCUUGAAGCCGGUAUAAAUAAUCCUUGCUUUGCAUUACAUCUUCAGCUUCCUCAUUGUGGUGUCGGUAUGCACUCUUGGAGCAGGCAGCCCUUAAAAGUUUUUGACGCAUCUAUACCUGCAUCCUGGAGAGUGUUCUUGGUCUGUUCGACAGUUGAACGGUGGUUUUUCUUCACAACUGAAGAUGUGUGAUGAGAUUUGUGUGGAGUUGAACAGAAGCAAGGGGAUGGGGACGCACAUCUACUCUGAGCUCAGUGUGUCUGAAAGACUGCACCCCAACCCCCCACCCCCCCUGCCCCCCCCCCCCCCCCCCCAGAGAGCUCGGCGCACAGGAUACCUGGGGAAAAGUGCAGGGGAACUCAGGUGGCCGCACAUGCUUUUGGUGUGGUGUAGCCCCGGUGCUUUCCGGCGUGCCACUGUCCCGUGCACCCCUGGGCUUCUCAGAAGCUGCGGCUCGGUUCUCGCCGAGCGUGGCCCGCUUGCGAGAAAGCCCCGGUGGCGGAGCUUCGCGGGAGCUUAGGAUUGGCGGGAGGACCGGGUACCGCCGAAAAACACGAUGCCACCACACAUCCUGCCUUCGCUUUCAUUUUAAGCCCCCGACGCAGUCAGAGCAAGCAGCCCUCAGACCACAGAAUUCUUCAGAAAAGUGAAACUGAAUGUGCGAUGCGUGCACGACAGCUCCCCAGCUCAAAUGAAAUGCAUGAAUGUGUUCUGAAAAUACCGUUUAAUAACAUAACGUGACGUGACAGAAAAUGUACCGAGCUGUUUUAUUGACAGUGAAUUAAACUCUCAGGUUUUUAUGCACCGUAGAGAAAGGGGUAAUGAUUCACUCGUUGUAUAAUGUGAACAGGAUCCACUGGAGCGCUGCUAGCAUUGAAGUGAACUCUGAUAGAAGCGAGAGCUGUGCAGCUUGAAUAGCCAUCGAUGGCAUCAGUACUGCAGAGGAAAUGCGUACGGGGUUUCGGAAGGAAAGUCCCGCUUUUCUAACGAAUUCUAACGAAUUGCCAGUUCAGCUGAGGAAGCAUCUCUGAUCAGAUCCUGCUGAAAAGCACAUAAACUUCAAAAAGGUAAAAACAAGUUUUGAUGAGGUUCAUUAAAAAAAAAAAAAAAAAAAAAAAAAACCCAUACUACAUAGUCCUACAGAACUCAAAAAACUUGUAAGUAAAAUGCUCCAUGUAAAUGACAGAACCAGUGUCAUAAACCUCUUGUUAUUUCUGGUACUUCACAUAAUGCAAUGAGUUACCCAUCAUGUAGGCAAGACAACAACAGGAGGCUGUUCAACUCUCCCUGCUGUACAGCAGCGAAAGGGGCGCCCUUUAUAAACUUGAAGUCCCGAGCGUAGUGUAACGGUUAGGGUAGAGGGCUUGCAGAGCCCUCGACACACUAAUUAGUGUCCACAUCAAUGUUUACGUUUAAAGACACAUCUACCUCAAAAUAUGUAGUUCCUUCGAUGCAGAAACUUCUGAGGUCCAGGUAACGGUUGCAAUUGAUCUGUCAAUCUAUGAUCCAGUGGCAUUAUUCUGAGUGUGGCUCGGGGAAGCUGAGUCAUUGUACGAGCGCUCGUGAACUUCUCGCCCUUGUCUCUUUUAAGAAGGAAAUAUGAUUUUUGCACAACUUGUAGAUUGUAGAUGUGGUCAGUGUGACAUACAGGAUCCACAAACACCAUUACAUAAGGCGUGGAUUCCCGCUUACCUUCAAAUUUCCCACAUCCGCGGUCGUUUUGCUUCACCAGCGAAAACUUCAUCACCCCGCACAAUGCAAUGUCCCAUAGUUUUUCUGUUAUGCUGUUCAGAUAGACGCAGCUGGCUGAAAACAGGGUUGA